rnacentral:rRNA from 1 species
CAGCUCUCCGAGUGGUAGGGAUGAUUAUUGGGCUUAAAGCGUCCGUAGCCGGCUUGGCAAGUUUCCUGUUAAAUUCAGCGACCUAAUCGUUGAGCCGCGGGAAAUACUACUAGGCUAGGAGGCGGGAGAGGUCGACGGUACUUCUGGGGUAGGGGCGAAAUCCUAUAAUCCCGGGAGGACCACCAGUGGCGAAGGCUGUCGACUAGAACGCGCUCGACGGUGAGGGACGAAAGCUGGGGGAGCGAACCGGAUUAGAUACCCGUGUAGUCC